rnacentral:sRNA from 1 species
CAUAAAAAUUGGAAUUUUUUUUUUUAAUUGCAGUCUGCCGCUGCGUACCGUACAUUUCAAAGUCGCGCUUCACACUGACAAAAGGGUAGAGAACUUAUUCUCCAACGUUUGGCCAGAGUUGCCAUUUUUCCCCACUAAAAGAGCCGAUGCCGAUCAAAGUCAACGCGUCGACGUCGCCGUUGUCGUCGCUCGGUCGUUCGUGCAAUUGCAAAAGCAAAGAACACAAAACGAGCAGCCGGUGGAGAGGUGCUGGAGGAGAAGGAGGAAGAGACGCCAACGCAGCCAGCAGAGACCAGCAAAAAUGAAGGUGGCAACGAUGGGAUGCUUACCAGUGUUGAAAAAUGAGCCGCCCACAGACGUAGCGAUCGUAAAAGUACAACGCACCUGCAAUGCAAAUUGCUGAUGGAAAAGAGCGAGAGCGAGAGAGAGAGUACACACACACAUACAACACAAAGACAACAGGAACAACAACAACAACGGGCAACGGCCCAACGGCAAUGUAACGGACGGCGGCGAUGACGACGCGAAAAGCCGCAAAAAGCCGUGAAACGAAAAAUUAUGCCCGAGCACUUGAACAAAACCAACACACAAAUACAAAUAUAAUUACACGUACGAGUACAGGAACAAGUAAACUUUGCAAAGUGAAUGCGACGAAAAUGGAGGAAGAACAAGCAGAGAGCGAAAAGCGCAAGCGACCGCGAUGUGCAACGAAUCUUUCGCAAAUGAAUGCAACCAGCGACGCAGGCAACAAAAGAAAGCUGUACCAUGGGCAGCACGGCUGAAACUUUACUCAAAAUUGUACGCAAUGAUACUUUUCGCCUGUUUCCAUUGUUGUUUUAUAAUUUAAAUAUUAAAAAAAUUCUUAUUGACUUUA